CCUGCAUGUUGGUACAGAUUCCUGAGAAGAAGCAUGUUUGACACGGCCAUGUGGUGUCAGACAUGUUUCUUCUCAGGAAUCUGUGCCAACAUGUGGA